rnacentral:rRNA from 1 species
UACAGAGGGUGCAAGCGUUGUUCGGAAUUAUUGGGCGUAAAGGGAGUGUAGGCGGUUUGAUAAGUCUUCUGUGAAAUCUACGGGCUUAGCCUGUAACGUGCAGAGGAAACUGUCAGGCUUGAGUGUCGGAGAGGAUAGGGGAAUUCCCGGUGUAGAGGUGAAAUGCGCAGAUAUCAGGAAGAACACCUAUGGCGAAGGCAGCUCUCUGGGACGGUACUGACGCUGAGACGCGAAAGCGUGGGGAGCGAACAGG